AUGACCUCAGCUACUGAAACAAUGUGUGCGGAGUGUCAAACAAGAGAACAGGUUCUGUGGGUUGACUGUGGCAGUUAAUCCCUGGUGGUGGUGCAUUCUUCACGGUCCCCUCCUUUUGGUUUUGUGUGUGUAUUUUGCAGUGUCACAGAUGAUUCUUUUGGGGACUCUUUCUCGGUUGCCCUGCUGCACGAAGUCCAUGGUUGCACUUGAGAAAUAUGAGAGAGGAGAGCAUUUUGGAUCCUCGGCUUGCUCUAUGUGGCCUCAGAAGAAGUCCUCCAGCACUGAACACUCGUUCAACUGGUGCUGAUGAUGCAGGGACAGUAAGCACUUUCAUCGCAAGAGCAUGCAAAUAUGGAUAUUUGUCCUUGUUCUUAAACCUGAACGUGAGGGCAUCGUCCUCUAUUGAAGUGCUCUGGAUGUCUUCAAAGUAUUUCAUUACCUGGGUUACAAUGCUUGCCUCAGUGGGAGUGCUCUGUUUCUUUCUAUGAGUUUUAUACUUUGCCAGGAAUCGUGGAAUCUUGGAACUAGGAGGAGGAUCCUGACAUGGUUCUGCAGUGGACUCCUCUCCAGCAUGGUUGUCGUCCAGGUCAUGAAGGUCAAUCUCUUCUGCUUUAGCUAUCAAGCUCUCUGGAAAAAAAAGAAAACAAAUAGACACCUUCAUAGCGAAUGUGCUGCAACUGGUCCUCACAUCCAUGUCAACCCAGCUCAUUCCAAACUGAGGAUCCAGCAUGGCAGCUUGCAUAUAGAUGUCAUGACUGAAGGCUUUAUCGUGGCUAUGGUCCUCAUCAGCCAUAUGAAGUACAAAGAAGAUUCCUGAAAACCUUCGCUUGAAUGACUCUUGAAGCACCCUCAUCAACGGCUUGCAGAGACUCUUUGGUGAAUCCAACUGAAUUAAAUGAGUGUUAAGGUCAAGCACUGUUGGAACAACCAUGCUUAUUGUGAUUAUCUUUUCUCCCUCUGUUAAUUCUGUUGCUUCAGCAAAAGGUCCAAGAAUCAAACAGAGUUCUCUCAACUGGGCCCACUCUCUUGAUGUGAUAACAACGUUCUUAAAGUCCACAGAGCACAUCUCUGUCAAAACAGUGUGAUCCAAUUCUGUGACAGCCUGUAUUUGUUUAAAGGUUGAGUUCCAUCGAGUUGCACUGGCCACUGGGAUGCUUUUGCCACUACCAAACACUGACUCAAACUUGUCCUUGAAAAUUGUGCUGCUAUGCAGUUGUCACGAAAUGAUGAGGGCGGACUCGAGCAGAGAGCACACUACCAAGGCAGGAUUAAUUAAAGGUGUUUUUAUUGCCAGGAGGUGGAUGAUGGAGGUGGAUGAAGGGAGCCGGGAUGCGUGGAGAGGGGUGGAGAUGGAGUGGAGUCGGGUCGGGCUUUCCGGAGACGGGGAUCAGCGGUCGCCGUGAGUUCUGGGGGGACCAGAGUGCGGCGGGUAGUGGUGGAUGGAUCCCUGGUGGCCGGAGACAGACGAGGGCGGAGAGCCGAUGAGAAGGCAGGUGCAGGAUGAACGGGAGACGACGGACGCAGACGAUCCGAGGGGCUGUGUUGGUGGGUGGCCAGUCGACGAUUGUCGUCUCACGGCUCCGUGGAGCUACUGGGAGGGAACGCCAGAGGGAGGAGACGAGCCGAAAGGGAAUCGGAGGAGGGUCAGAGCCAGCGUGGCUUGGACAAUCCGGGGAAGAAGCUGAAUGGGGAAUCUGAGGGGAAAUCCGAACCAGGCAGGGGGUUCCAGAGGGCAGGCUGGGUGCCGAAUUGUUCCUGACGAGGGUCCAGGAAGGCAGAGCAGAGGAGAGGGGAGGUAGGGAGGGGAGGGGGAAGAGAUAAAUUCCAUCAUCUUUGGCCUGGCUGUCUGGCUCUGGGGACCGGGUGCAGUGCGCGGGGGUGUUCUGGCCAAGCCCAUUCCAAUUCAAUGUUUGCCCUUCCGACACCCUGGGUGGGCUCCAGAGACGGGGGCGAGUGAUCCUCGCCCUGUCACACCCUUGCCCUGCCACACCAUCUGCCCGCUGGGGUGCCGGAGCUGUUGGUGGGGAGAGGGGGUGAUAAGGGGGCGCUGGACGGGCACGCACCUCCCUCCGCCUGACUGGGUGGGGCCCCGUUGGUCCACAGCCCUCAAUGACAUAAUGUAGGAAACGGCUUGAAAUAUACAUGAUAGGUUAAUUUGCCAUGAGGGCAGGUGAUGGUCACAGUCACAAAUAAAGAAAAAAUUGCAUGCAGCUUAAGUAAUGACAGCAUGGUUGGUUGGUGUCAUUUCUGAGCAGAUAUGCAGAC